rnacentral:rRNA from 1 species
AUUGAACGCUGGCGGCAGGCCUAACACAUGCAAGUCGAGCGGAUGAAGGGAGCUUGCUCCUGGAUUCAGCGGCGGACGGGUGAGUAAUGCCUAGGAAUCUGCCUGGUAGUGGGGGAUAACGUCCGGAAACGGGCGCUAAUACCGCAUACGUCCUGAGGGAGAAAGUGGGGGAUCUUCGGACCUCACGCUAUCAGAUGAGCCUAGGUCGGAUUAGCUAGUUGGUGGGGUAAAGGCCUACCAAGGCGACGAUCCGUAACUGGUCUGAGAGGAUGGUCAGUCACACUGGAACUGAGACACGGUCCAGACUCCUACGGGAGGCAGCAGUGGGGAAUAUUGGACAAUGGGCGAAAGCCUGAUCCAGCCAUGCCGCGUGUGUGAAGAAGGUCUUCGGAUUGUAAAGCACUUUAAGUUGGGAAGAAGGGCAGUAAGUUAAUACCUUGCUGUUUUGACGUUACCAACAGAAUAAGCACCGGCUAACUUCGUG